ACGGUGCUGAUAGGCUGUGCUUCUAUGUCAUUUGCAUAAAUCCCAUAAUCCCCACGAAGAGUGGGGUUGACAUAACUUGCUUAUAGCAUUUACAGCAAAAGUGGAAAAAUUUCCAAGACGAGGUUACAAAAAACCCUUUAACGAAUGUCCUCUUGUUCAUCCCCAUUCUUUCUCUCUGUCUCUCUGUCUCUCUUCCUCUCUCUCCCUCUCCCUCUCCCUCUCUCUCUCUGAGAAAAGCCAUUUGACACAUCGUGAACUACCUUCUGUGGUGGGUAACUGGGGAUGUCUCUGGCCAUUAGCCCACAGGAAGGGAAUCCAACCAACAAUGACGUGCAUGAGCCAAGGCGGUCUUGUCAAGCUUUCAGGUAAGGACUGAACCCUGCCUCACUCCUUGAUGGCAGCCUUGUGACAGAAUGGCUUUUUAAUCCAGAAACACGGUGAGAUAAUAAAUGGUUGUUUUCAAGUGUUACGAUUAGGGAAAAAUUGUUACAUGCCCAUAGUUAACUACUAAAGUAAUCAAACAGGUAUCGCUUUUAGCAUCUACUGGGUACACUUAAGAGCAAUACAUGGGUUUUCUUUUUAGUUUUGAAUGAUACUAAUUUUCAAUAAACUUGAACUUACAUCAUUUUGCAGCUACUGAAGUGUCUGAGAACAUAGUCUAAGGGGCAAUGAUAUGUGUUGAGGGUAGGAAUUUUCAUAAAUCAUUGUAAGUAAAACUUAGCAAAGAGAAUCCUCAUUCUGAGUGAUGGUAAAAGAGGCUCUGAGGGGGGGUUGGGGAUUUAGCUCAGUGGUAGAGCGCUUGCCUAGCAAGCGCAAGGCCCUGGGUUCGGUCCCCAGCUCCGAAAAAAAGAAAAGGAAAAAAAAAAAAAGAGGCUCUGAGGGAAUAGGACCUAGAAGGUUCCCUUUUGGAUGAACCGAGGAUUAAGCUAGCCUAGAAAGCACACAACUGAAAUUACCUCUGCUGACUGAGAACUGACAGUUACUUACUCCUGCCAUUUACUUAACCCUCCCCACCUUUCGAGGUAAGAUGCUAUCACGACGGAACUGUAAAGGAGCCCAUCAUCAUGACCUUGUGCUUCAGCUGAGUUGAGCUUGCAGACGUGGUGUCUACUUAGCAUCUCUCCUGCCACCCAGACAAGGCUGGACAGUCAACACGAACAGCCAAUGGCUGAAAGGAGACCUGAAGACACCAAACCCCGACACUAGUGCUGAUGCCAAGAUGUGCUUGCUGACAGGAGCCUGGCAUGGCUGUCCUCUGCAAGGUUCUGCCAGCGCCUGACCGAAACAGAUGCAGAUGCUUACCAUCUGCAACCAUCGGACUGAGCCCGGGAACCCCAAUGGAAGAGUUAGGGGAAGGACUAAAGGAGCUGAAGGGGUUUGCAACCCCAUAGGAAGAACAACAAUAUCAUCCAACCAGUUCCCCCCUCCUGAGCUCCUAGGGACUAAACCACCAACCAAUCAGUACACAUGGAGGGACCCAUGGCUCCAGAUGCAUAUGUACCAGAGGAUGGCAUUGUCUGGCCUCAGUGAGAGGGCAUGCACUUGGACCUGUGAGGACCUCUGGGGCUUGAUGUUCCAGAGAAAGGGAAUACUAGAGGGGUGAGGUGGGAGUGGGUGGGUGGAGGAGCACCCUCUUAGGGGCGAAGGGGAGGGGAGAUAGUGGGGGGGUUCAUGGAGGGGGGAACGAGAAGGGGCACAACAUUCGAAAUGUAAAUAAAUAAAAUAAUUAAUAAUAAAAAUAUCCUUUGUCUUAAAUCUAAAUAGCACCCCCUAUUCUGUACUUAUUAC
ensembl:lncRNA